rnacentral:rRNA from 1 species
AACGAACGCUGGCGGCAGGCCUAACACAUGCAAGUCGAGCGAGGACUUCGGUUCUAGCGGCGGACGGGUGAGUAACGCGUGGGAAUGUGCCCUUCUCUACGGAAUAGCCCUGGGAAACUGGGAGUAAUACCGUAUACGCCCUUUUGGGGAAAGAUUUAUCGGAGAAGGAUCAGCCCGCGUUGGAUUAGGUAGUUGGUGGGGUAAUGGCCUACCAAGCCGACGAUCCAUAGCUGGUUUGAGAGGAUGAUCAGCCACACUGGGACUGAGACACGGCCCAGACUCCUACGGGAGGCAGCAGUGGGGAAUCUUAGACAAUGGGGGCAACCCUGAUCUAGCCAUGCCGCGUGAGUGAUGACGGCCUUAGGGUUGUAAAGCUCUUUCAGCUGGGAAGAUAAUGACGGUACCAGCAGAAGAAGCCCCGGCUAACUCCGUG